rnacentral:rRNA from 1 species
GUGGGGAAUCUUGCACAAUGGGGGAAACCCUGAUGCAGCGACGCCGCGUGAGCGAUGAAGCCCUUCGGGGUGUAAAGCUCUUUCGGCAGGAACGAUAAUGACGGUACCUGAAGAAGAAGCUGCGGCUAACUACGUGCCAGCAGCCGCGGUAAUACGUAGGCAGCAAACGUUGUUCGGAGUUACUGGGCGUAAAGAGUGCGUAGGCGGUUUGCCAAGUUUGGUGUGAAAUCUCCUGGCUUAACUGGGAGGGUGCGCCGAAUACUGGCAGGCUUGAGUGUUGGAGAGGGGAGCGGAAUUCCUGGUGUAGCGGUGAAAUGCGUAGAUAUCAGGAGGAACACCGGUGGUGUAGACGGCUCCCUGGACAACCACUGACGCUGAGGCACGAAAGCGUGGGUAGCAAACAGGAUUAGAAACCCGAGUAGUCC